CCCUUAGAUGUUCUGGGCGGCCCGCGCACUACAAUGGCGUGUGCAGCGAGUGCCGAAGUAGAGUUUUCCGAGGUAUUCUUGCAAUGCUCGUUUUGAUGGGGAUAGACCCUUGCAACUGUUGGUUUUGAACGAGGAAUUCCUUGUAAGCAUGGUUUAUCAUCCGACGCUGAAUGCGUCCCUGCCCUUUGUACACACCGCCCGUCGCUCCUACCGAUUGAAUGCUCAGGUGAGCCAUUCGGACUUUCAUCAUGCUGGUUUCCAGUUUUGAUGAAGGAAAGUCUUGCGAACCUUAUCAUUUAGAGGAAGGAGAAGUCGUAACA
rnacentral:rRNA from 1 species